rnacentral:tRNA from 1 species
UGCCGAUUGGCCCAGCGGUUAAGGCGUCCGACUGUUAAAAAUUUCUCACCGAGAAAAUCGGAAGAUCGUGAGUUCGAUCCUCACAUUGGCAG